rnacentral:rRNA from 1 species
UAGGGAAUAUUAGAAAUGGACGAAAGUCUGAUCUAGCGACACCGCGUGUGCGAUGAAGGCCUUCGGGUUGUAAAGCACUUUUUGGAAGGAAUAGGAAGGAAUGUACUUCCAGAAUAAGUCUCGGCUAACUACGUGCCAGCAGCCGCGGUAACACGUAGGAGGCAAACGUUAUCCGGAUUUACUGGGCGUAAAGCGCGUGUAGGUGGUUCUGUAAGUAGGGCGUGAAAGCUCCCGGCUCAACUGGGGGAGGCCGUUCUAAACUGCAGAACUAGAGGAUGGUAGAGGGAGGUGGAAUUUCAGGUGUAGCGGUGGAAUGCGCAGAUAUCUGAAGGAACACCAGUGGCGAAAGCGGCCUCCUGGACCAUUCCUGACACUCAGACGCGAAAGCUAGGGUAGCAAACA